UACGAAGGGGGCGAGCGUUGUUCGGAAUUACUGGGCGUAAAGGCUCGUAGGCGGCCAACUAAGUCGGAUGUGAAAUCCCCAGGCUUAACCUGGGAACUGCAUCCGAUACUGGAUGGCUUGAAUCCGGGAGAGGGAUGCAGAAUUCCAGGUGUAGCGGUGAAAUGCGUAGAUAUCUGGAGGAAUACCGGUGGCGAAGGCGGCAUCCUGGACCGGCAUUGACGCUGAUGAGCGAAAGCUAGGGGAGCAAACGGG
rnacentral:rRNA from 1 species